rnacentral:rRNA from 1 species
AUUGAACGCUGGCGGCAUGCUUUACACAUGCAAGUCGAGCGGCAGCGCGGGGGCAACCCUGGCGGCGAGCGGCGAACGGGUGAGUAAUGCAUCGGAACGUAUCCUCGAGUGGGGGAUAACCCAGCGAAAGUUGGGCUAAUACCGCAUGAGCUCUGAGGAGGAAAGCGGGGGACCUGCGAGGGCCUCGCGCUGGAGGAGCGGCCGAUGUCCGAUUAGCUAGUUGGUGGGGUAAAGGCUUACCAAGGCGACGAUCGGUAGCUGGUCUGAGAGGAUGAUCAGCCACACUGGGACUAAGACACGGCCCAGACUCCUACGGGAGGCAGCAGUGGGGAAUUUUGGACAAUGGGGGCAACCCUGAUCCAGCCAUGCCGCGUGAGUGAAGAAGGCCUUCGGGUUGUAAAGCUCUUUCGGACGGAACGAAAUGGGCGGGACUAAUACUCCUGUCUGAUGACGGUACCGUAAGAAGAAGCACCGGCUAACUACGUG